AGUCNNCGGGCCUCUNGGANAANCUCNGUCCUGAACUCCACCCUUGANUNNNCUNCCUUUGUUGCUUUGGCGGGCCGCCUCGCGCCGCGGCUUCCGCUGUUGAGUGCCCGCCAUAUGACCCCAACUCUUGUUUUUAGUGAUGUCUGACGUACUAUAUAAUAAUUAAAACUUUCAACAACGGAUCUCUUGGUUCUGGCAUCUAUGAAGAACGCAGCGAAAUGCGAUAAGUAAUGUGAAUUGCAGAAUUCAGUGAAUCAUCGAAGCUUUGAACGCACAUUGCGCCCUCUGGUAUUCCGGGGGGCAUGCCUGUUCGAGCGUCAUUAUAACCACUCAAGCUCUCGCUCGGUAUUGGGGUUCGCGGUUUCCCGGCCCCUAAAAUCUGUGGCGGUGCCUGUCGGCUCUACGCGUAGUAAUACUCCUCCCGAUUGAGUCCGGUGGGUCUACUUGCCAGCAACCCCUAAUUUUUUUAAAGUUGACCUCGGAUCAGGNANGGAUACCCACUAAACUUAAGCAUAUCCCUAAGCGGAGGAAAAGAAACCAACAGGGAUUACCUCAUUAACGGCGAGUGAACCGGUAACAGCUCAGAUUUGAAAGCUGGCUCUUUUAGGGUCCGCGCUGNAAUUUGUAGAAUAUGCUUCGGGUGUGGCCCCGGUCAAAUUUCCUUGGAAGGGGAGGUGAUAAACGGUGAGAAUCCCGUAUGUGACUGGGUGCUUUCGCUCAUGUGACGCUCUUUCGACGAGUCGAGUUGUUUGGGAAUGCCAGUCUUAUGGGUGGUUAAUUUCAUCUAAAGUUAANUAUUGUUUAGAGACCGAUAGC
rnacentral:rRNA from 1 species